rnacentral:rRNA from 1 species
CCCUUAGAUGUUCUGGGCCGCACACGCGCUACACUGAAGGAGGCAGCGUGUACUCCUGGAUCGAAAGAUUUGGGUAACCCGCGAAUCUCCUUCGUGCUAGGGAUUGAGGUUUGCAAUUAUCCUUCAUGAACGAGGAAUUCCCAGUAAGUGCAAGUCAUAAGCUUGCGCUGACUACGUCCCUGCCCUUUGUACACACCGCCCGUCGCUACUACCGAUUGAAUGAUUUAGUGAGGACUUCGGACUGGGACCGAUGCGGCUUUCGGGUUGCGUCGGUAUUCUGGAAAGAUGUCCAAACUGUAUCAUUUAGAGGAAGUAAAANUCGUANCA